rnacentral:rRNA from 1 species
ACUACGGGUGGCAGCAGUGGGGAAUAUUGCACAAUGGGGGAAACCCUGAUGCAGCGACGCCGCGUGAGUGAAGAAGUAAUUCGUUAUGUAAAGCUCUAUCAGCAGGGAAGAAAAUGACGGUACCUGAGUAAGAAGCCCCGGCGAAAUACGUGCCCGCAGCCGCGGUAAUACGGGGGGGGCAAGCGGUAUCCGGAUUUACGGGGUGUAAAGGGAGCGUAGACGGCAGUGCAAGGCUGGAGUGAAAGGCGGGGGCUCAACCCUCGGACUGCUCUUGAAACUGUACGGCUGGAGUGCAGGAGAGGUAAGUGGAAUUCCUGGUGUAGCGGUGAAAUGCGUAGAUAUUAGGAGGAACACCAGUGGCGAAGGCGGCUUACUGGACUGUAACUGACGUUGAGGCUCGAAAGCGUGGGGAGCAAACAGGAUUAGAUACCCCAGUAGUC